GUGUUGUUGUUGGCGUUCCGCGUAGGGUUCGUCUGUGGUUGUGGUGUCUUGGCUUGGAGCCGCCCUGCCCGGGGGUGUCGAGUCAGGGCAAGGUGGCAAAGGAGCGUUUGAGGUGAAAUGGGUUGCAGAGAAGAGGGGUGCGCAGCUGGUGAUUUUUUUUAGGAACUGCAAUGGCAACUCUAUGUGCUUUUAUCUCUAGGGGCCGCAAAGGAUGGUGACCGUCCAAGUCCAGCACGGGUAAGGAGCAGGUGGAGCGGUCCUAGAGGAAUGCGACGGGUGGAAAAGCACGCUUUAUGUCUGGUGUUUCUCAAAACCAGAGGCAUAAUAAAGGAGCAUUACUCAUACAAUAAUAAAGUAAAUGAAAA